AUACGGAGGAUCCGAGCGUUAUCCGGAUUUAUUGGGUUUAAAGGGUGCGCAGGCGGCCAUUUAAGUCAGCGGUUAAAUCGUGGGGCUCAACCCCAUUCUGCCGUUGAUACUGGGUGGCUUGAUUGCGGUCGAGGUUGGCGGAAUUCGUUGUGUAGCGGUGAAAUGCAUAGAUAUGACGAAGAACACCGAUUGCGUAGGCAGCUGACCAGACCGCAAAUGACGCUCAUGCACGAAAGUGCGGGGAUCGAACAGGAUUAGAUACCCUGGUAGUCCGCACAGUAAACGAUGAAUACUUGUUUUCGGCGAUAUAAUGUCGGAGGCAAAGCGAAAGCGAUAAGUAUUCCACCUGGGGAGUACGGCGGCAACGGUGAAACUCAAAGGAAUUGGCGGGG
rnacentral:rRNA from 1 species